UUAGCACCUGCAUCUGCUCUGAGGUAGGGAUCAGGGUCCUAGCAUCACCCAGAAUCAUGCCUUUUCAGCAGCAGCCUCUGCAGCCUGUUCCAAGCUGGCAGCAGGCAGAGCUCACUGAAUGCUUUGUGCAUGAAGAGCCAUUGGCUAGGAUCAGAUUACGCAAGAAAAGGAGGUGUUCCCUGAGGGAAAGCCGCUUAGGACCCCAGCCUGGCUGAUUUUCGUCUAUGUCGGCACAAGGCUACUCCCACCUUCUGUUACCAGCCGGUGCAAAGAGAAGUGACUUCCCCUUUGACCUCAGGCCUUCUGUCUCCUGCUGUACCUGCCUCCUGAGGGAGGAGGAGGAGGAGGAAAGUUGGUGGACAGCUGGACUUCCAUCUCCUGCUGCACUGUCUCCUGACUCUGGAGGGAAGAGGAGGUUUAGCACAAUGCCUGGAACACAAGUAGUGCUAAUGAAUGUUUAUGGACUAACUGACUGAUCCAGCGGGAACGUGAUAUCUUCAAGCGUUCGAAGAACUGACAUGUGGGAGAAGGAUUCAAUUUAAUGAGAGGGGUAGACUAAAUGGCCUCUGACAUUUCAUCUCUAGGUCUAUAGUCUAGGACUUGCUUUGUCUGGCUCCAGAGGGCAGAAACAGGAUCAGUGGAUGGAAGUUGCAAAGAGACAAACUGAGGCAGAUUUUAUAAGGAAAAACUUCCAAACAAGGAGAUUACCUCCACAUAUAAAUUACUUCUUGGAAAUCACAUAAGUACUUUGUUUUGCAAUUUUCUUUUUCUUUUUUAAUAAUA